GACGAACGCUGGCGGCGUGCCUAAUACAUGCAAGUUGAGCGCUGAAGGUUGGUACUUGUACCAACUGGAUGAGCAGCGAACGGGUGAGUAACGCGUGGGGAACCUGCCUUUGAGCGGGGGACAACAUUUGGAAACGAAUGCUAAUACCGCAUAAAAACUUUAAACACAAGUUUUAAGUUUGAAAGAUGCAAUUGCAUCACUCAAAGAUGAUCCCGCGUUGUAUUAGCUAGUUGGUGAGGUAAAGGCUCACCAAGGCGAUGAUACAUAGCCGACCUGGGAGGGGGGUCCGCCACAAUGGGACCGGGACACGGCCCAAACUCCCACGGGAGGGAGCAGUAGGGAAUCUUCGGCAAUGGACGAAAGUCUGGCCGAACAACGCCGCGUGGGUGGAGGAGGGUUUCGGAUCGUAAAACUCUGUUGGUAGAGAAGAACGUUGGGGAGAGGGGAAAGCGCAUCACGUGACGGUAACUACCCAGAAAGGGACGGCUAACUACGUG
rnacentral:rRNA from 1 species